CCAUACCACCCUGAACGCCGCCGACCUCGUCUGAUCUCAGAAGCUAAGCAGGGUUGGGCCGGGUUAGUACUUGAACAACUUGCGUUACUGGGUUGAAUGAAUGU
rnacentral:rRNA from 1 species